GGGGGUGUGGCUCAGUGGUAGAGCGCCCGCUUCGCAUGCGGGAGGCCCCGGGUUCGAUCCCCGGCACCUCCA